ensembl:lincRNA
ACUUUGUAUGUUUGUUUCCCCACCGUAUACCACUAGGUUCAUAUGUAUAUAAUUUUGGGGAAACAUAUUUGUGAUUCAUUUUUUACUUAUGUUUUGUUUAUUUCAAUAUGACAUGAUUCUCCUAGACUCCAAAUGCAUGGCUUUAGGGCUAAGAGCUCUGUGCUCCCAGGGUAAGGAGCAAGCCAGAGCCUUGAUGAAUCACUGCCUGGGGUGCCACUAAAGCAGCAAGUAACUGGUGGAGAAAUGGGAGAGAAAGAGAAGCAGAAGGAUUUGGACACAAUAAAGACAGGCAGAACUGGAGACCCAAGAGCCUGACAUAUGAAGAAUAACAUGUAUCCUGAAGACAAUAGCUUAUCCAGAAGGAAGCCAUCUGACCCAUGUAUCACAGGAGGGUGCUCAACAAAGGGAUGUACUCACCACCAAGACCAGAAUUGGCAUGUAAUCUAUGAGAUAAUUUAAGUUUUAUUCUAAUCCACUGCAUUGGAGUAAGUUUUAAUCAAUGAAUCUUUCUCUCUUUUUUCUAAGAAUUACUCAUAGUAAAAGAGUCUACUUUUUAUAAAAAUAAACAAAACAUUCCAUUAUA